GUUAACGCGUUGCCGAUGUACGCGGGAAGACGGUGGGUGGAAGGGUUAAGCGGAAGUACGUUGCGGAAAGCGGGCGCAGGUGGCGUAUUAAGUCAGAUGUGAAAUCCCUAGGCUCAACCUAGGAACUGCAUUUGAAACUAAUAAACUAGAGUAUCGUAGAGGGAGGUAGAAUUCCAGGUGUAGCGGUGAAAUGCGUAGAUAUCUGUAGGAAUACCAGUGGCGAAGGCGACCUCCGGGACGAAAACUGACGCUCAAGCACGAAAGCAUGGGGAGCAAACAGGAUUAGAUACCCCUGUAGUC
rnacentral:rRNA from 1 species